rnacentral:tRNA from 1 species
GGGCUCAUAGUUCAUUGGUAGAAUGCGUCGUUGACAUCGACGAGGUGGUAGGUUCGAUUCCUACUGAGCCCACUA